rnacentral:rRNA from 1 species
UGACACAGGGAGGUAGUGACAAGAAAUAACAAUACGGGGCUUUAAGUCUUGUAAUUGGAAUGAUGGGAAUUUAAACCUCUUCCAGAGUAUCAAUUGGAGGGCAAGUCUGGUGCCAGCAGCCGCGGUAAUUCCAGCUCCAAUAGCGUAUAUUAAACUUGUUGCAGUUAAAAAGCUCGUAGUUGAAUUUCUGCUGUAUCGUUAUCUUCUGCUUGACAGUUUGGUAUCGUUAUGGCUUGUUGGGUCACUUUGUGUCCCGGCGUUUGCUUUGAGACAAUUAGAGUG